CCUACGGGAGGCAGCAGUGGGGAAUAUUGCACAAUGGGCGCAAGCCUGAUGCAGCCAUGCCGCGUGUGUGAAGAAGGCCUUCGGGUUGUAAAGCACUUUCAGCGGGGAGGAAGGCGUUAAGGUUAAUAACCUUGGCGAUUGACGUUACCCGCAGAAGAAGCACCGGCUAACUCCGUGCCAGCAGCCGCGGUAAUACGGAGGGUGCAAGCGUUAAUCGGAAUUACUGGGCGUAAAGCGCACGCAGGCGGUCUGUCAAGUCGGAUGUGAAAUCCCCGGGCUCAACCUGGGAACUGCAUUCGAAACUGGCAGGCUAGAGUCUUGUAGAGGGGGGUAGAAUUCCCGGUGUAGCGGUGAAAUGCGUAGAGAUCUGGAGGAAUACCGGUGGCGAAGGCGGCCCCCUGGACAAAGACUGACGCUCAGGUGCGAAAGCGUGGGGAGCAAACAGGAUUAGAUACCGAGUAGUC
rnacentral:rRNA from 1 species